rnacentral:rRNA from 1 species
AUCGAACGCUGGCGGCAGGCUUAACACAUGCAAGUCGAACGAGUGGCGGACGGGCGAGUAAUGCUUGGGAAUCUAGCUUACGGAGGGGGAUAACUACGGGAAACCGUAGCUACUACCGCGUACCAUAGGAUGAGCCCAAGUGGGAUGAGGUAGUUGGUGAGGCAAAGGCAAACCAAGCCGACGAUCUCUAGCUGGUCUGAGAGGAUGACCGGCCACACUGGGACUGAGACACGGCCCAGACUCCUACGGGAGGCAGCAGUGGGGAAUAUUGCGCAAUGGGCGCAAGCCUGAUGCAGCCAUGCCGCGUGUAUGAAGAAGGCCUUAGGGUUGUAAAGUACUGUCGGCGGGGAGGCGUUACCCGCAGAGGAAGCACCGGCUAACUCCGUGCCAGCAGCCGCGGUAAUAC